GAUGAACGCUAGCUACAGGCUUAACACAUGCAAGUCGAGGGACCGGCGCACGGGGGAGUAACACGUAUCACACCUGCCCUUUAAUCGGGGACAGCCGUUCAACAGAAAGAUUAAUACCCAACAUAAAGGAUGGGGAUGCGUUCCAUUAGGUUGUUGGUGAGGUAACGACUCACCAAGCAUUCGAUGGAUUGGGGUUCUGAGAGGAAGCUCCCCCGCAUUGGAACUGCGGCCCGGUCCAAACUCGUACGCGACGCAGCAGUGAAGAGUAUAUGGCAAUGAGCGUUAGCCUGAACCAGCCAAGUGGCGUGAGGGAUGAAGGCUUAUGGGUCGUCAACUUCCUGUAUAUAAGACUAUGUAUUAUAUGAAUAAGGAUCGGCUAACUCCGUGCCAGCAGCCGCGGUAAUUC
rnacentral:rRNA from 1 species